GGCCUACUGGCCCAAUGGCAAGGCGUCUGACUACGAUUAGUAAAUCAGGAGAUUGCAGGUUCGAUCCCUGCGUAGGUCA
rnacentral:tRNA from 1 species